rnacentral:rRNA from 1 species
UACGAGGGAUCCUAGCGUUGUUCGGAAUCAUUGGGCGUAAAGGGUGUGUAGGCGGCCAUGUAAGUCAGUUGUGAAAGCCCCGGGCUCAACCCGGGAAGUGCUUCUGAUACUGCUUGGCUUGAGUAUUGGAUAGGUGGGUGGAAUUCCAGGUGUAGUGGUGAAAUACGUAGAUAUCUGGAGGAACACCGGCGGCGAAGGCGGCUCACUGGCCAUAUACUGACGCUGAAACACGAAAGCGUGGGUAGCAAACAGG